UACAGAGGGUGCGAGCGUUAAUCGGAAUUACUGGGCGUAAAGCGCGCGUAGGCGGCUUUUCAAGUCGAUUGUGAAAUCCCCGGGCUUAACCUGGGAACUGCAGUCGAGACUGUCUAGCUAGAGUAUGGGAGAGGGAAGUGGAAUUUCAGGUGUAGCGGUGAAAUGCGUAGAUAUCUGAAGGAACAUCAGUGGCGAAAGCGGCUUACUGGUCCGGUUCUGACGCUGAGGCGCGAAAGCGUGGGGAGCAAACAGG
rnacentral:rRNA from 1 species